UUUAUUACCCAGUGUACAUAGCUUUAGAAUUAAUUUUCAAUUGUAAACACAAACCUGAAAACUAUCACUCAAUUUCAGAGUGAACAGCAUUUGAUUGUGUAGCCCCAAGAUAGAAAAAGUUAUCAAGAAAUGGACAGACGUUAAGACGCACAACAACCAUGUGUGAAUGAUGAGAUCUCGUCCAUCACAUCAGUUGAAUUAAAGUUGGAAAUUCGCGAAACAGUGCAUGUGAGGCCCAGACAGAUGAGCCUGUAAGAAAAAAAAGAU